UUGAGGUAUAGAUUAAGAGUCUUAGACUUAGUAUUUACCCGAUAAAGCUGUCGGUACGCCGACAAAUGUCAGACCUUAUACAAGAAAAAAAAGACUACUGUAAGAGCAUGGAUGAGAUAUUUGAAAAAUGUAUAAAAAUAUUUCAAGUAUAUAAUAGGAACUAAAAGUAUGAUCACUGUGAUUAUGUGAUUGGACUAUGUGCUGACUGUAAUAGACAGUACUAUGUGUUAAGAUAUAUUGUUCUAAUCGAACGAAUGAUCUGAUUAUUGAUAGGUUGUGAUAAAGAGAUAAAACCUAAGUUGAGAUUUGUAAUCAGCGAAUCAGGCAAGUAUCCUACCUUUGCAUUUCCUUUAUGCAAUGGACAUGAGUAAGAAGUUUCAGAAUUAUUCUAUUCCUGUACAGAUUAUGUACUCUUUGAUUAUCAACAUGUUAGCUCAGAUAUAUAUUCUGUUAAGUUGAUUUCUAAAUGGUUAUACAAGUGUCCCCACUUGGAUAAUCAUGGCAUUUAUUCACAUGUUGAUAUACCUUUGUCAAUUACCCGUAUACAUAUAUGUUGAAUUACAUAUUAUUGUUGAGCAAGAUUAAAAACCUUCGGGUUUGGAACCAGGCAUGUAUGAACAUCCCUAUAUGGGAAGAUUUUUGCGCCCAAGGCGGAUAGAGUGAGCGAUGAAUUUCGUUCAAGUUAUGUAGUAUUGAUCAAUACAGGGUACAACGGGGCUGAUCACCCUCCGUGCCCGUAAGUUAUGACGGUUUGCGGAUGAAUUUCUGCUAAACCUUUUCGAAAAUGAAAAACAAUGUUCAUAGUAUGUUUCUUAAACCCUAUUCAUGGGUGGAGCCUAAUUUCAAGAAAUUGAAAGAGAGUUGUUAUGUGAAUCUUUUAUCAGUACAGAUUACUUCACAACUUUUGAUUCGUUGUAGAAGUGUUAUGUAAAGAGAAUACUUAUAUUCUUUCAGCUUAUAUAUAUAAUUGCUAUUACUUGCUGGGCACUCAAAUGCUCAUCCUUGCUUAAAUUAAAUGUUUUCAGUUAUGUAUGAGCAACCUGAAGGCUCAGGCACGAACAAAGGAAAAGGAAAGCUGAUCGAAUAAGUGUGUAUUAUGAGUUAAUGGUUAUAGUUGUAUUGGUAUCUAUUCAAGUAUUGUAAGGAAUGUAUUUGAAGGUCACGUACCUGGGGAAGUAAACUUUGAUGUAUGUAAAUUAAGUUCGAAUGUAUUAUUAUUUAGUAUUAUUCAGCUUAAAGAAAUGGUAUCGUGGAGAACCGAGUUCGGGUUUCAAGUACCUGGAUUUGGGGUCGUCACAGGUUGGUAUCAAAGCUGUUGGUUAUGAAGCUUAGGUAGGAAUACCUGAGACUAAUAACCGCAAUGAUUAGGAUAAGUAUUAACUCAUAUAGAGUUAGUUGGUCGAUAAGAUUCAAAGAUGAAUCUCGGCGAGUGUAAAGACACAGAGUUCCCUAACUCUGAUUAUAAAGUUAAACAGUAGUGGGGAAUAGAUUGAGUCUAAAAGACUGAAAGUGCAGUUAUGAGAGAUCGUAAAAUAAAACGAUCAAGAUAUAGAACUAAAUCGUAAUAUAUACGAUGAGAUCACCCCGUGAUCUGAUAAGGCUAUGACAGCCAGAAGGAAUCAAUCUGAUGAUUGGAAAGUUUACAGCAAGAUUGCUGUGUAUGAAUUGUACUAUCAAUUGGUACAGAUCCAGAAGAGAAUUAUAAAUACGAAUUAAAUUCGUAUGGAGAAUGGGGUUAGUGUUAGAUGGGGAUUCAAUUGAGGACUCAUGUCGGCAGCUGAGUUGUAUGAUUCUUCGUAUGGGAGCUGAAUUGUACUUGGUGUAAAAACCACUUAGUUUCUGGCACUGAUAAUCAUUGAAAUGUCUGUGUCGCGCUAUUUGUUAUAUGCACAUUAAGAGGAUGACUCCAUUCUCAGGUGUAUAACAGGUAGAUAGGUCAUAGAUAGAGAAUAUAAGAUUAAGUUCGAGUUCUUAAAACUCAUACCUAUGAGACAUUCUUGACUCAUAAUUAUAUGAAAUGUUUAUGAACCCCUCAGCGAAUGGACGCCAAAGGUCUGACUAGGAUAAGUUCUUAAACUCAUAUGAUUGUGGCAAUUUAUGAACUCAUAAGUGUGGUUUGAUGAACUGGGUAUAGUUUUGUGUGAAUGGAGUGUUAUGGAUUACAGGAACAGAUAGAUUGUUAAGUAAAUGAUUUUUAGUGAAGGUGUUAGGUUUUCCUAAACUCCUAGCUAUGCUAAACUUCAAAAUUUUUGACAUCAAGCUAAAUACGCACUAUGUGCUUUUGAAAACAAAAAUGUAGACUCGUAAUCAUUUUUGAAACGGUUUAAAGUACGGUCUAUGCUACUUAUUUUGGCUAGACGCAAAUGAUUUGAAAUAUCAAAAUUUGUUUUUAAUUAUCACUCAUGUACCAUGUAACCUGGUGCAGAGAUGAUAAAAAUGUGAUGGAGUUGUAAAUACAGGAAUACUUAGUGUGAAUUUGACCUGAAGUCGCUGUUCCACUAUUGUAUGAUGUGUUAUGACAAAGUCAUACAAUGACGGCAUCCUCAACGGAUUGUUAAUACAGUACGGCAUCAUGACGUCAUUCUCGAAAAUGUUUUCAAAAAGUUUAAUUUGCCAACGGGGUUUGGCUACAUCUAAAUAAUUCGAUUGAAUUGAAUUAUUGAUAUGAGUCUAUGCUAUUUGAAUCAGCUAGACUAAUGUUUAUGAAAACUCUAAGUGUUCAUUGAAAGAAAUUUCCCGAACCAAAUUGUUUGGUGCGGAAUCCUAUGAUAAGACUGAGGUGAACAAUGUUGUUUGGAUAAAUGAUCCAAUCUAAUGGCGUAAAUAUUCGCUAGGUAUGAUUAAUACGUUAUGCAUGACGUAGGGGUACAAUAGGCUAAUCACCUAAAGUACUAUUAAUGGUAGUUUACCUUCUUUGUGAUUGUAAACAUACCAGGUAAUGUUUUGUUUUGCGGUAUGAAUACCGUUAAAACUAUGUGUUCAUGGUCUAUAUGACCCCUCAGCACAAUUUGAAAACUUUUACUCUUGUGAGAGGUGUAUUGGGUAGCAUGUGAUGAUAUGUGUGAAUGUUGUAAGCACAGAUAGAGUUAGCCGAGUUAUGAGGGAGGUUGGAGCAGAGGGAGAUAUUCAGAUAAGACAGUUGAAGGUUGAAAUAGAAGCCAAAGACACCAGAUAUAUACCUUGGACCAGGCUUUAGUCAUCACCUUCAUGCGAUUCGAUGCAGAGUGGAUGGAGCUGCCUUUCGGCAGAGAUAGGCGUUGAUGAGAAUUGAAUAAAUUUAUCGUCAAUCAAAAUAAGAGACAACGUAUAUAGAACUCUUGAUUGCUGUGUAUAUAUACUAUAUGUUAAUCAGGGUAACUUAUGUAUGUAGAUGUCUGGUGAGAAAGAUAUGUGGAAUAAGAAGGAUCAUAUUCACACCCCGAGCUAAUAUCGAGGCCAACAGAUGAAAUAGAAGCUCACUAGGAACCCAAAUCGGACGAGGUGGCUAUCGUGGAAAAACGUAGCAUCAGAUCCAGAAAUGUUGGAUUUGACAGAUAGUGAUUCAGACACUAAAGUUGAAGCUGCUCAAGCAUCAACGGAGGUGCAGGAUUUGGAGAACAAGGUUUCUUCAUUGGAAAGGUUGUGGGAGAUAGAAAAGUUGAUGCGUCAGGCGUUAAUGGAAACAAUGGAAGAGCAGGAUAAGCUCAAAAUCCAAAUUGACCAGAUGGAGCCUCAAGCGACACAUCCGUGAAGGACACACCUCUCCUCGUUGCCCCGACUAUAAGAAAGGUGGAUGUUUUAAUUGUGGGAUGGAAGGACAUCGAGCGAAUGAAUGUCCGAGAAAAAGGCUUGGUAAAUAAGUAGUAUGGGUUAUGUAUGUAAUAUGUGUGAUAAGUAAUGAACUAUUUUUAACUUUUAUGUUGGUUAAGAUUUUAAAUCCCGACUUUCGUAGUCACAAAGGGAUAGCUGUUGAUUAAAGCAGGAUGUGCUGUGUAAAUAUUCGAUAAAUGAAUAUGAAUCUAAGUUUGAGAAAUGAAACGAGUUUAAUACAUUAAUCUUAUGCAAUAAGGUUUAAAAUGUAAGGGUAUAAUUUAUGGUUUUAUUUAACCAGAUAAUGCCGCCAAGACGUCAAACUCGAAACCAAAGGAUAGAAGAAUCUACUAAUGCUGGGGAACGACAGCCAGAACUGAUGCAAAACUUUGCAAACAUGGUAGCUCAGGCUAUGCAGCAGGGAACACCAGUUGCGGGAAACCAGCCAGACAAUCGCUUGGCAAAAUUCAAAGACUUCAAAGCCGUAGGACCACCAGAAUUCAGAGGAUCAGCUGACCCUAUAGAAGCCCAGACUUGGGUGAACGAGAUAGAGAAGGCGUUCGUAAUCGCUAAAGUAGAUGAGGGGCAAAAGACCGCUUUUGCCACUUAUAUGAUGAAAGGGGAAGCUAACUUUUGGUGGGAGGCAAAUAAGACUCGGGCAGGAGAAGAAGAAAUUACUUGGGAUAGGUUUAAGGAUUUAUUUUUCGAAAACUAUCUCUCUGUUAGUAUGCAGUCUAGAAUGGAGGUGAGAUUCCUGGAGUUAAAGCAGGAUAACAUGACUGUUGCGGAGUAUGCCGCAAAAUUUAAUGAGUUGGCUAGGUUUGCUCCACAUCAAGUGGAUACAGAGGCUAGGAAGGCAAGGAGAUUUGAGCUGGGCUUAAAACCCUGGCUCUACAAUAAGGUGUCAGUACUGCAAAUCAAUACUUUUGCAGCACUCAUGGAGAAGGCUAUCAUUGCUGAACAGGGAAGUGAGGCCAUGAGCCUCUACCAUAAGGAGAAGAAGAACAAAAGCAAGUCAGGAGGAACAGUAAAGAUAGAAAGUAGUAGUGGGAAUAGGGGUGAGAAAAGAAUGAGGAAUUUUUCUGAGAAAAUGCAAGUAAAGCAGGAAGGUAUAAAGAAGCAGGUAGUGCAGUGCAAGAACUGCGGGAAGAAUCACUCUGGCGAGUGUCUGAAGGGCAAGUUUGUAUGCUACAAGUGCGGGCAAGAGGGUCAUAUCUCUCCCAACUGCCCCAACUCAAGGAUGAUCAGUGGAUGCUUCAUAUGUGGAUCGACUGAGCAUAAGGUGAGGAACUGUCCACAGAGGGGAAUGGAGGCAGGGAACGUAACCACGGGGAGAAGCAGUGGGACGUUAGCAAUUUCAGGACCAAACUCAACCAGUAACCCAACGAAAGCAACUCCGAGGGUUUACAACAUGACGGUCCAGGAUACGGUGGCAGCUGGAAACAGAACUCCAGGUGCUAUUUGAAUAACUUAUAUAUCUUAUAUUUCUGCUUAAUCGGAUAGACAAGUGUUAUGAUGAAUAAUUAAAGAUCAGUUCGAUCAAGUAUGAUCGAGAUCUACGUACAAUGAUUAUAUGCUAUGUACCCUUCUGCAUAUGAGUUUUUAAAGCGGUGAUUCCGGGGACGGAAUCCUUAUAAGGGAGGGUGAAUGUAAUAACCCGAGAUUUUCUAUAUAAAAUAAAUAAGAAAUUUUGCGUAUAAAUUUUUUUUUUUUUUAAUGACGAGACUAAGUGUCAAGUAAAGUGAACGAUAAAUGCGAAUACAUUUAUUACUUGAAAAAUUAGAAAUAAUUUUGGAAUUAUUAAUUACCACAAAUUAUAUGGUAAUAAAUUUCUGUAAGCCGAAAUGUUUUUAUUAAUUAUUUUCCAUGAAAACAUGAUUGGAAAUAAUAUAUGAAGUGAUAAUUAGAUUUAUAUAAUAAAUAUUUUAUUAUAUGAAUUGUUCAGAAUAUUUAAGUUAAUUAUUUUAACUUGAUUAUUGAUGCUGUGUACGAAGAAUAAGUCAGACAUGAGAUCCAAACCCUGGAUUGGGAUUGUGAUCAAGAGAUGAGAAUAAUAAUAUUAUAUUAUUUAUAUAAUGAUUUUACAGUACCAUAAUUAUGUACUGGGUAUGUGCGGACAGAUAAUAUUGAGCAAUGACGGUCAAUUAGGUCAUAGCAUAUUACCGUGCUGUGAAACCCUAAUUAUUAAACUCAGUUAUGGGAUAUUUCUGAGUAGUGACUGUGUAUAUGAAGUUACUGUGAAUAAGAAUAUCGGUAAUUAGAAGAAACCCUAAUUACUGUUGUACGUCGAUAAUUAGGACAAACCCUAAUUAUUAUAACCCUAACCGGUUGAAAUUAGAAACCGUAACGACUGUGUUAGUAACAUACACAGAUAAUUAAAGAACCACUAAUGGUCAAUUAGAAACCCUAAUUGAUGACGUUGAGAAACCCUAAUUUUAAUUACCGGGUUUAAUUUCGAUGUUAUUGUAUAAGUGUUUUAAUUUACCAAAGGAUAGAAGUUAAUUGGUAAAUUAUAAGAAUUAAAUCUAGUGAUUAAAUAUUACAUUUAAUUGCCUUGUACAAGAUUGCCCAUACACUCUUAAACAAAGCCCAACCAUCACCCAUAACAAAUCAGAAGCAAGAAUCAAGAAUUUUUGGCAAAAAGGGUAUAAGAACACUAAACCUAGAAAUCCUUUGAUUCGAUGUUAUUUGAUGCAAUUGAUUGUUUAAAGUUGUGUAAUAGAAUGUUAAUUGAUGAUAUGGGUUGAUAAAUCAAAGACCCAUAACAUCAAAGUGCACGAAUUUGAAGAUUUAAGCAAGUUGGAAAAACCGAAUUCUGUUAUUUUUUUCCCCAAAUGUCAGAGGCCAUAACUCUUUGCUCGAUCAUGAGUUUUGUUCUUCAAAAGUUGUUAUGUGUAGCCUGAUAUGUGGUCUUUAAUCUGCAAAAAGAAUCAAGUCCAUAUCAUGUAUAGAUUAGAAGUUAUAGAUGGUCAAACAUGGUUGACCGAUCAUGAUAAACUGUUUUUGGGCAGUCUGUAAUGGGGGCAUUCUCGUCCACUUUUUGUGCUUUAAAAGGUCUGGGCUUUUGAUAUGUUGUAGUGCACUGAGUUAGGAAGCCAUAGGCUUUGGAAUGACCUCAUUCCGACCUCGGAUGAGGGAAUUACGGUGAUUGGAAGGAAAUGUGUCAAAUUUCUCAAAACUGAAAGUCAGCAGCGGGAUGUGCUAUUCGGGACACUGUUUCGAUCAGUUAAUGUUUCCAAAACCUUCUGGGCUUUUGGUAUGUUAUAGUACACCGAAUAAGCUUUCCAUAGACUCCGAAACGGACUAAAUCCGAUAUCGGAGGAGAGAGUUAUGACAUUUCAAAGUAGUAGUGUCAAAACUUCCCAACAAGUGCGGUGCAGUCCAUUUGAACGGAAUUUCUGGGCUGAUGUGUUCGGAAUUUGGAAAUGGUCAAAGAAUAAAAGUUGUAGCCCCAGAAGUUAGCUUCGCGUGGGCUCAAGAAUCGCUCAAAAAUGUUUUAAAAUGAAAGAGUUAUGACUGUUUUAGCGAAAGAGGGUAAAGCUGAAACGAGAUUGAAAACUGUUAUGAACGUCCACUUUUGACGCACUGUUUGGGCUACCUAAUGAACCCGAAUUGGGUAAUUCGUAUUUUUUAAAAAUAGUCUUACAUACCAUGUAUAACAUAUCCAAAAAUCAGAUUAAUCGGAGUUAUGAGCAAUGCGUUAGAAAAUCGCAAAGUGAGCUAUUGAAAAAUUAGUAUAAACCAAGUCCCACAUCGACUAAAUUGAGAACUUCACCAUUUUCUAAACCUAUAAAUAGAAGGGCUUGGCCUUUGUUUCAUUCACCAACAAUAAGGCCUCCAAUUUUUGAGAAAGGCUUUGUUGUGGGAGAACUUUUUAUAAAGAUCUCCUUAGUUAAAUUUUGGCGUGGAAGUGCGUAUUCAGUCUGUGGAAUUCGUAUUUCCGGGUAUGUUUCUUAUUUAAUUUUUGUAAUGUUAUUAUUUUUAAUUGUUAGUUAAAGUUUGAAUUUUUGAAGUUUAGUUAGUGUUGUUAAUAAACUAGUUAGUUUACUAUGUUUAUUUUGGCUUGGAAUUGAUUAUGUAAAUGAGUUAUUUGUGAUGACUUUUAAUAUUUUGUGAUGAAUUUCAUUAAUUAAUAAUUAUUAAUGAUAUUAAAGUUAUUUAAUGAUUAUAUUAAAUAAUUUAGUUUAAAAAUGAUUUUAAUAUUAUAAAAAUCAUUUUAAAUGAAAAUAAGGUAUUUAAAAAUAUUUUAAGUUAUAAAAUAUAACUUUUAAUAUUUAAAUGAUAAUUUCAUUAAUAAUUAAAUAUUAAUGAUAUUAAGAUAAUAUUAAUGAUAUUUAGUUUAUUUAAUGAUUAAUAUUAAAUAAAUAGUUUAAAAAUGGUUUUACUUAUUUAAAAACCAUUUAAAGAGGAUAUUAAGGAUUUAAAAAUAUUUUAAGUUAUAAUUAAUGACUUUUAAUAUUUGGAUAAAUAGUACAUUAAUAUUUAAAUAUUAAUGGUAAUUAUUUGGGUAAUAUAAAUGUUUUAAAAAUAGUUUGAGUUAUUAUAAAUAACUUUUAUAUUUUGGCAAUGGUUUCAUUAAUAGUUUAGUAUUAAUUAAACUAUUAAUGAUAAUGGAAUUGUUUAAUGUUUAAAUCAUUUAAUUAUGAUUCCGAUAUUUGAAAGUUAUAGCCGGCCAAACUAGCUGACUUGAGAACCGAUUAUGAAGUUCUGAAUUUGAAGAAGAACACCUAUAGUAACAGUUAUAUCACUAUAGGCCCUUUAGUGACAGAUUUGAAUUAUUUUAAAUUUUUCAAUUUCUGGAAAUUGCGAAAAUGAUUAAAAAUAAGAUGUCUGAUAUUUACAGAUGUUGAGGUAUAGAAUAAGAGUCUUAGACUCAGUAUUUACCCGAUAAAGCUGUCGGUACGCCGACAAAUGUCAGACCUUAUAAAAGAAAGAAAAGACUACUGUAAGAGCAUGGAUGAGAUAUUUGAAAAAUGUAUAAAAAUAUUUCAAGUAUAGAAUAGGAACUAAAAGUAUGAUCACUGUGAUUAUGUGAUUAGACUAUGUGCUGACUGUAAUAGACAGUACUAUGUGUUAAGAUAUAUUGUUCUAAUCGAACGAAUGAUCUGAUUAUUGAUAGGUUGUGAUAAAGAGAUAAAACCUAAGUUGAGAUUUGUAAUCAGCGAAUCAGGCAAGUAUCCUACCUUUGCAUUUCCUUUAUGCAAUGGACAUGAGUAAGAAGUUUCAGAAUUAUUCUAUUCCUGUACAGAUUAUGUACGCUUUGAUUAUCAACAUGUUAGCUCAGAUAUAUAUUCUGUUAAGUUGAUUUCUAAAUGGUUAUACAAGUGUCCCCACUUGGAUAAUCAUGGCAUUUAUUCACAUGUUGAUAUACCUUUGUCAAUUACCCGUAUACAUAUAUGUUGAAUUACAUAUUAUUGUUGAGCAAGAUUAAAAACCUUCGGGUUUGGAACCAG
rnacentral:lncRNA from 1 species